GCAUGUUUCCGUUUCAUGUGUUAAAUACGGGAUCCAAGAUGGUUUUUUUUCGCUUGUUUAAAUUGAGCCUAUCCAACGUGUUUAACCAGCCAACGUGUUUAACCAACGUGUUUAACCAACAUGUUUAACCAACGUGUUUAACCAACCAACCAACCAACCAACCAACCAAUAAAUCAAUGCAUGUUUCCGUUUUAUGUGUUAAAUACG
rnacentral:lncRNA from 1 species